AUUGAACGCUAGCGGGAUGCUUUACACAUGCAAGUCGAACGAGUGGCGGACGGGUGAGUAAUGUAUCGGAACGUGCCUAAUGGCUGGGGAUAACUACUCGAAAGAGUGGCUAAUACCGCAUACUAUCGGAGCGGCCGAUAUGGGAUUAGCUAGUUGGUGGGGUAACGGCUUACCAAGGCAACGAUCCGUAGCUGGUCUGAGAGGACGACCAGCCACACGGGGACUGAGACACGGCCCAGACUCCUACGGGAGGCAGCAGUGGGGAAUUUUGGACAAUGGGCGAAACCCUGAUCCAGCCAUGCCGCGUGUAUGAGAAGGCCUUCGGGUUGUAAAGUACUUUUGGUAGAGAAGCGGUAUCUACAGAAGAAGCACCGGCUAACUACGUGCCAGCAGCCGCGGUAAUUC
rnacentral:rRNA from 1 species